rnacentral:lncRNA from 1 species
AAAGACCAACCCUAAUUUUACACUUCACAUGCACUUUUCCCUUAUCUCCUGACAACUCAGCCGCUACUGCUACAUUUUGCCAUCUCUUUCCCUUAAUUUCCAUCUCCAAAUCCUUUUCUUUUUCUUUUUAAUUUUUGCAUCCAGCAAGUACUACGUUUUGCCACUGCUCCAAAUCCUUGGAUUUGUGUGAGUGUGAUAAGUAAAGUUUUGUCUUGUUUAAUUAUUAUUUCCUUAAAAAUAUUACAAAUUUACUAUAUAUUUGAUAUUUUAAAAUUUUACAAUGAUUAUUAUCAAUAUUGCAGCAUGUUAAAUUGUUAAUAAUAUUUUAUUUAUUUUUUGGUGUAGGAUUUUUGUUUUUCAAGGUGGAAAAGACAAAUGAAGAGAAUUAAAGAAAUUACCUUACUUUAUAAUUUGAAUUUGAAUUAUUGUUAUUUGUAUUAUUAGAGAUUUGUAAUUUGGUAUUUAGAUGACUUCAUAAUAUGGUUUGAGUUAUUUGUAUUUUGUUGUGGUAUGUUAAACUUGUGAUUUUUUUAUAUUUUAUUUUGCUU